UUAAUCCAUUUAACAACUCAACCCAUCAAAUUAAAUGAGUUAUGGGUUGACCUAACCCAUUUAACAAAAUGAGUUGGGUCAACCCAUAGACCCAACCCAUAACUCAUUUAACCCUAAACUCAUUUGAUUAUGAGU